CCUACGGGCGGCAGCAGUGGGGGAUAUUGCACAAUGGGGGGAACCCUGAUGCAGCGACGCCGCGUGGGUGAAGGAGUGCUUCGGCAUGUAAAGCCCUAUCGGCAGGGAAGAAGCAAGACGGUACCUGACUAAGAAGCCCCGGCUAACUACGUGCCAGCAGCCGCGGUAAUACGGAGGGGGCGAGCGUUAUCCGGAUUCACUGGGUGUAAAGGGAGCGUAGACGGCCAUGCAAGCCAGGGGUGAAAGCCCGGGGCCCAACCCCGGGACUGCCCUUGGAACUGUGCGGCUAGAGUGCGGGAGGGGCAGGCGGAAUGCCUGGUGUAGCGGUGAAAUGCGUAGAUAUCAGGAGGAACACCGGCGGCGAAGGCGGCCUGCUGGACUGCGACUGACGUUGAGGCUCGAAAGCGUGGGGAGCGAACAGGAUUAGAUACCCGAGUAGUC
rnacentral:rRNA from 1 species